GGACGAACGUUGGCGGCGUGCUUAAUACAUGCAAGUCAACUGAAGCACCGGGUAGUAAUACUGGUGUGGAGGUGGCGCACGGGUGAGUAACACGUAGGUAAUCUGCCUUCAGGUCUGACAUAACCCCGAGAAAUCGGGGCUAAUAGCAGAUGAUGCAGCGGCUUGACAUCAAGACAGUUGUUAAAGCUUCGGCGCCUGAAGAUGAGCCUGCGUCGAUUAGCUAGUUGGCGGAGUAACAGCCCACC
rnacentral:rRNA from 1 species